rnacentral:rRNA from 1 species
GACGAACGCUGGCGGCGUGCUUAACACAUGCAAGUCGAACGGAAAGGCCCUGCUUUUGUGGGGUGCUCGAGUGGCGAACGGGUGAGUAACACGUGAGUAACCUGCCCUUGUCUUUGUGAUAACUUCAGGAAACUGGGGCUAUUACCGGAUAGGAGCUCCUGCUGCAUGGUGGGGGUUGGUAAGUUUCGGCGGUUGUGGAUGGACUAGCGGCUUAUGAGCUUGUUGGUGGGGUAGUGGCUUACCAAGGCUUUGACGGGUAGCCGGCCUGAGAGGGUGACCGGCCUCAUUGGGACUGAGAUACGGACCAGACUCCUACGGGAGGCAGCAGUCGGGAAUAUUGCACAAUGGGCGGACGCCUGAUGCAGCAACGUCGCGUGCGUGAUGACGGCCUUCGGGUUGUAAACAGCUUUCGACUGUGACGAAGAGUGAGUGACGGUAAUUGGUCAAGAAGCACCGGCUAACUACGUG